rnacentral:rRNA from 1 species
UGAAUUGAUUCUUCGGAUGAUUUUCAGUUGACUGAGCGGCGGACGGGUGAGUAACGCGUGGGUGACCUGCCCCAUACCGGGGGAUAACAGCUGGAAACGGCUGCUAAUACCGCAUAAGACCACAGAGCCGCAUGGCUCAGAGGGAAAAACUCCGGUGGUAUGAGAUGGACCCGCGUCUGAUUAGGUAGUUGGUGGGGUAACGGCCCACCAAGGCGACGAUGCGUAGCCGGCCUGAGAGGGCGGACGGCCACAUUGGGACUGAGACACGGCCCAGACUCC